UACGGGGGGGGCAAGCGUUGUCCGGAUUUAUUGGGCGUAAAGAGCUCGUAGGCGGUUUGUCGCGUCGGCCGUGAAAUCUCCACGCUUAACGUGGAGCGUGCGGUCGAUACGGGCAGACUUGAGUUCGGUAGGGGAGACUGGAAUUCCUGGUGUAGCGGUGAAAUGCGCAGAUAUCAGGAGGAACACCGGUGGCGAAGGCGGGUCUCUGGGCCGAUACUGACGCUGAGGAGCGAAAGCGUGGGGAGCGAACAGG
rnacentral:rRNA from 1 species